GCUGAAAUCAAUUGAAAAUUGAAGGAAAACCUCAAAUAAAACAAUUUCAAUAUCUGCAUCAUAAAAGAUGUUUUAAUUAAUUAAAAAAAAGAAAUCAUCAUUCUCGACAGAAAUUAUUUAUUACAUUGGUUUAUUGUUGGUAUUAUACAUUGGAAUGAAAUUUCCUAAUUGUUACCCUAAAUUCACUAAACGCACACACACACAGAAGAACGAAGGAAAGAAACAGAGAAGAGAGAAGGGGGAGCUCGAAGGGGGAAGAAGAGAGAUCGAGAAAGGGAGAUGGAGAGCUCGAGAGUCAGGGAGUAAGGGAAUGGGAGAAGGACGCUGCGACGAUCAAGAAGGCUUCGACUUCGUCAUCCUCGUGCAUCCGUCGCUGCUACCAUCAUCAAUUGAGGCUGCUGCGCGUGGAGAGAAGGGGAGACGACGCCGCUGGCUCUGUCUGGGAUCGCCGCCGCCGUUCAAGCCACUACAAGAGAAAAACGCCGCUGCGUGAAGGGAGGUUAUGAGCGAAGUAGAACGCGUACAGGAAGAAGGAGAGCACGACGACUAGAAGGAGGCAGCGCCGCUGCCGUUGCUGCUAGGGCUUGUCGCUGGAAUUCCUGGUCGCCGCUGUCCUUACUGGUGAGUCAAUUGUGCCCUAGCUACUAGAGUUACCAUUUCUGAACCCUUGUCGCUUUGAAAUGAUCCUGUCUCUGCCUCUAAUAUUCCUAAUUAUGCUGUAUUCGUUGGAAUCGCCACAAUUGGAGCUCGUCGCUGGAGUAGACAAAUUGUUGCGCCAUCCUUUUGACUCUGAACCUCUAUUCAUAACCCUUGAAACCAGAAAUAAAUGAGAAAGAGAAUGCAAUGAAGAGUGAGAUCUUUCACUGAAUAUCAUCCCGUUUUUUUUCCACUGGAGAGCAUCCACUCCCCUGCAAGUGUGAUCAUGAUUGGUGCUGCUGCCGCGUCCGGAUUACGUUGGAAUUUUCGCUGCUGCUGUGAAUUCAAAAAGAGCAGGUUUAUCGUGGUUAAUUCCUUCGGGUUUAGCUAAUCGAUGCAGGGAGUUUAAUUUAAAUGAUUUUAAUUUAAGAAUGUAUACAAAGUUUAUUGAAUAACUGCAAAUAGAUUUAAUUAUUGUGAGUAAUUGAUUGAUUAUAUGGAUGUU